rnacentral:lncRNA from 1 species
CCUGUCUUUGAUUGUGCCAGGUAAACUCUGAGUUAUUGUUAAUCGCCCUAAGGCCACAUCUAUCCAAGGCUUUUCUAAAGCCCUCCAUUUGAGACCAAGAUCUCCUCAAACCUCCUUUCUUCUCAUGUUGACUCAAGACCUCGUUGAAAUCUCCCCCCAGUAGCCAAGGGCAAUCACUACCAAGCUGUCCAAGACGCUUAAGAAGCUCCCAAGAAUGAUUACGUUUGGCUAAAUCAGGAUUUCCAUAGAAGCCAGUGAACCUCCAUCUAUUCCCAUUCACAGAAACAAAGCAAUCCACAUGCCCCAUCGAAAAGCUCUUAAUAUCCACCACCAUCGAAUCUUUCCAAAAAAGCAUCAAACC